UACGUAGGGGGCAAGCGUUUGUCCGGAAUUAUUGGGCGUAAAGAGCGUGUAGGCGGCCCGAUAAGUCCGCUGUGAAAGUCCAGGGCUCAACCCUGGAAUGCCGGUGGAUACUGUCGGGCUCGAAUCCGGAAGAGGUGAGUGGAAUUCCUGGUGUAGCGGUGAAAUGCGCAGAUAUCAGGAGGAACACCCAGUGGCGAAGG
rnacentral:rRNA from 1 species